CCUGCCACAAUGACCUUGGAAGAUGGCAUAGCUACAGGAUGUAAGAGGGCUGGUGACCUGCCACAAAGUGAUGGACUAAUGUAACAAGUUACCCCAAACUGAGUGGCAACAAGAGUUAUUUUCUCACACUUCUAGAGGCAAGAAGUCUGAAACCAAGAUGAACAAUCGAAAAAGAGGGAAUCUUCCCAAGUUCUUUCUAUGAAGCCAGCAUCAACUUAAUCCCUAAACCUGAAAAAGAUGCAGCAUUGAAAGAAAAUUACAGACCAAUAUCCUGAUGAACAUAGAUGCAAAAAUCCUCAAUAAAAUUCUGGCUAAUAGAAUGCAACAACACAUCGGAAAGAUCAUCCACCCAGACCAAGUGGGAUUUAUCCCUGGCAUGCAGGGAUGGUUCAAUGUUCACAAAACAAUGUGAUACACCACAUUAACAGACUGCAGAAGACAAACCAUAUGAUUAUCUUAAUAGACGCAGAGAAAGCAUUUGAUAAAAUACAACACCUUUUCACGAUAAAAACUCUAAGCAAACUGGGUA